rnacentral:snoRNA from 1 species
UAGCCUGAAGUGAUGAGCUUGGUUCAUGUCUCUUCUCUGAGAAUUAUGCUGGAGAUAUUCCAUAGACUCUGAUCAGGCAC